UACGGAGGGGCUAGCGUUGUUCGGAAUUACUGGGCGUAAAGCGCACGUAGGCGGCUUUGUAAGUUAGAGGUGAAAGCCCGGGCUCAACUCCGGAAUUGCCUUUAAGACUGCAUCGCUAGAAUUGUGGAGAGGUAAGUGGAAUUCCGAGUGUAGAGGUGAAAUUCGUAGAUAUUCGGAAGAACACCAGUGGCGAAGGCGACUUACUGGACACAUAUUGACGCUGAGGUGCGAAAGCGGUGGGAGCAAACAGG
rnacentral:rRNA from 1 species